AUUGAACGCUGGCGGCGCGCUUAACACAUGCAAGUCGUGCGGUACCGAUGGCAAGUCUUCUUGACGAGCCUUCGGUAUAGCGGCGGACGGGUGAGUAACACGUGAGUAGCUGUCCUAGGGAGGGGGAUAACGCCUGGAAACGGGUGCUAAAACCCCAUAAGCCUCGAAAGAGGUAAAAGUGCAUCACUGCAGUCCUAGGGUGUGCUCGCGGCCUAUCAGCUAGUUGGUGAGGUAAGGGCUCACCAAGGCCAAGACGGGUAGCCGGCCUGAGAGGGUGUACGGCCACACUGGAAUUGAGAUACGGCCCAGACUCCUACGGGAGGCAGCAGUUGGGAAUCUUAGGCAAUGGACGAAAGUCUGACCUAGCGACGCCGCGUGAGGGAAGAAGGCCUUCGGUUGUAACCUCUGUCAUGGGGAAGAAGUAAGUGACGGUACCCAAGAGGAAGCCCCUGCUAACUACGUG
rnacentral:rRNA from 1 species